rnacentral:tmRNA from 1 species
CCUCUUUCAAUUCCGCGGCCGGGACCUUAUAUUCAGGGCGUCGGCUUGCCGACUAUAGCGAUAAACGGAUUACGGAAUAAGCCAUUCGGACCCGGGGGCGGUACCCGGCGCCUCCACCAUUUUCCUCUGGCAGCCAGCUACUGCCGGGGUUUCAGGGGGCGAAACAGGAUCGACGAGGGUGUAAAGGUCUUCUUUUCGCUCGGCAUGGUACCACCGUAUCGGACCAAUCCUAUAGAUGCCAAAAACAACAUGGCUUCUGUGGCUGCCAACGACAACGCUCCGGUUGCUUUCGCAAUCGCUGCCUAAUCGUUGAAAGCCGAAAGUCCUUGUUCAUAGCUGAAUAAAGGCGGGGUCCGGAGGCACCUGGCAACAGAAGCCUCCACU